rnacentral:rRNA from 1 species
GACGAACGCUGGCGGCGUGCUUAACACAUGUAAGUCGAACGGUAAGGCCCCUUCGGGGGUACACGAGUGGCGAACGGGUGAGUAACACGUGGGUGAUCUGCCCUGCACUUCGGGAUAAGCCUGGGAAACUGGGUCUAAUACCGGAUAGGACCCCUUCCUGCAUGGGCGGGGGUGGAAAGCUUUUGCGGUGUGGGAUGGGCCCGCGGCCUAUCAGCUUGUUGGUGGGGUGAUGGCCUACCAAGGCGAUGACGGGUAGCCGGCCUGAGAGGGUGUCCGGCCACACUGGGACUGAGAUACGGCCCAGACUCCUACGGGAGGCAGCAGUGGGGAAUAUUGCACAAUGGGCGCAAGCCUGAUGCAGCGACGCCGCGUGAGGGAUGACGGCCUUCGGGUUGUAAACCUCUUUCACCAGGGGCGAACGGUCACGUCAGGAAAUGGGCGUGAAUUGACGGUACCUGAGAAGGAAGCCACGGCUAACUACGUGCCAGCCGCCGCCGUAA